GAUGAACGCUGGCGGCGUGCCUAAUACAUGCAAGUCGAGCGAACAGACGAGGAGCUUGCUCCUCUGACGUUAGCGGCGGACGGGUGAGUAACACGUGGAUAACCUACCUAUAAGACUGGGAUAACUUCGGGAAACCGGAGCUAAUACCGGAUAAUAUAUUGAACCGCAUGGUUCAAUAGUGAAAGACGGUUUUGCUGUCACUUAUAGAUGGAUCCGCGCCGCAUUAGCUAGUUGGUAAGGUAACGGCUUACCAAGGCAACGAUGCGUAGCCGACCUGAAAGGGUGAUCGCCCACACUGGAACUGAGACACGGUCCAGACUCCUACGGGAGGCAGCAGUAGGGAAUCUUCCGCAAUGGGCGAAAGCCUGACGGAGCAACGCCGCGUGAGUGAUGAAGGUCUUCGGAUCGUAAAACUCUGUUAUUAGGGAAGAACAAAUGUGUAAGUAACUAUGCACGUCUUGACGGUACCUAAUCAGAAAGCCACGGCUAACUACGUG
rnacentral:rRNA from 1 species